ensembl:snRNA U1 U1 spliceosomal RNA
AUACUUACCUGGCAGGGAAGAUACCUUGAUCACAAAGGUGGUGUUCCCAGGGUGAGGUUUAUCCAUUGCACUCCGGAUGUGCUGACCCCUGCGAUUUCCUCAAAUGUGGGAGUCUUGACUGCCCAAUGUGUGGUAGUGGGGGGCUUCUUUCGCACACUCCCUUG